rnacentral:tRNA from 1 species
GCCGGGGUGGCGGAAUUGGUAGACGCACGGGACUUAAAAUCCUGUGGACGUAAGUCCGUGCGGGUUCGAUUCCCGCUCUCGGCACCA